rnacentral:tRNA from 1 species
ACAGAUGUAGCUCUGUCGUAGAGUGCCUGUCUAGUAUGCACAAGGCCUAGGGUUCAAUCCCCAGCACUUGUA